rnacentral:rRNA from 1 species
CAGGUGGUCAGGUAGAGAAUACCAAGGCGCUUGAGAGAACUCGGGUGAAGGAACUAGGCAAAAUGGUGCCGUAACUUCGGGAGAAGGCACGCUGAUAUGUAGGUGAAGCCCCUGCGGGUGGAGCUGAAAUCAGUCGAAGAUACCAGCUGGCUGCAACUGUUUAUUAAAAACACAGCACUGUGCAAACACGAAAGUGGACGUAUACGGUGUGACGCCUGCCCGGUGCCGGAAGGUUAAUUGAUGGGGUUAGCGGUAACGCGAAGCUCUUGAUCGAAGCCCCGGUAAACGGCGGCCGUAACUAUAACGGUCCUAAGGUAGCGAAAUUCCUUGUCGGGUAAGUUCCGACCUGCACGAAUGGCGUAAUGAUGGCCAGGCUGUCUCCACCCGAGACUCAGUGAAAUUGAACUCGCUGUGAAGAUGCAGUGUACCCGCGGCAAGACGGAAAGACCCCGUGAACCUUUACUAUAGCUUGACACUGAACACUGGUCCUUGAUGUGUAGGAUAGGUGGGAGGCUUUGAAGCGUGGACGCCAGUCUGCGUGGAGCCGACCUUGAAAUACCACCCUUUAAUGGCUGGUGUUCUAACGUAGACCCGUAAUCCGGGUUGCGGACAGUGUCUGGUGGGUAGUUUGACUGGGGCGGUCUCCUCCCAAAGAGUAACGGAGGAGCACGAAGGUUAGCUAAUCCUGGUCGGACAUCAGGAGGUUAGUGCAAUGGCAUAAGCUAGCUUGACUGCGAGAGUGACGGCUCGAGCAGGUGCGAAAGCAGGUCAUAGUGAUCCGGUGGUUCUGAAUGGAAGGGCCAUCGCUCAACGGAUAAAAGGUACUCCGGGGAUAACAGGCUGAUACCGCCCAAGAGUUCAUAUCGACGGCGGUGUUUGGCACCUCGAUGUCGGCUCAUCACAUCCUGGGGCUGAAGUAGGUCCCAAGGGUAUGGCUGUUCGCCAUUUAAAGUGGUACGCGAGCUGGGUUUAGAACGUCGUGAGACAGUUCGGUCCCUAUCUGCCGUGGGCGCUGGAGAAUUGAGGGGGGCUGCUCCUAGUACGAGAGGACCGGAGUGGACGCAUCACUGGUGUUCGGGUUGUCAUGCCAAUGGCACUGCCCGGUAGCUAAAUGCGGAAAAGAUAAGUGCUGAAAGCAUCUAAGCACGAAACUUGCCCCGAGAUGAGUUCUCCCUGACCCUUUAAGGGUCCUGAAGGAACGUUGAAGACUACGACGUUGAUAGGUCGGGUGUGUAAGCGCAGCGAUGCGUUGAGCUAACCGAUACUAAUGAACCGUGAGGCUUAACCUU